GUGCGAGGCAGUAUAUAUAGCAGUGUGAGGCAGUAUUCGAAGCUAGAAAGGUCCUUCAUUAUGGAGUUCCGAAAAACUGUUUGCCUCAUGGCCUGCGCGAUCCUCUUUUCACUAGUCGUAGAGCAAGCAUACGGACACGCAACCCGCAAGGUCAUCAAAAACAUUUGUCAGCGCGGCUGCCUCAAGAAGUGCUGCACCACCGGAGAUGGAAAACCGUUCCCUUGCGAUACACUAUGUGAAGAUCAAUGUGAAAAGCGAUGUCCAAAGGUCAUUCUUCCGCGAAAAUAAGGGGGUGGGUGCGUCACCAUUGAAAAAAUUUGUAAGUGGUGGACACAGGCAAUGUCAUUUCACGAAGGAUGAAAUUGUUUCAAUAAAAGAAGCCUUCGCAAACGCCGAA